rnacentral:rRNA from 1 species
GACGAACGCUGGCGGCGUGCCUAACACAUGCAAGUCGCACGGGAUUGGGGGCAACUCCAGUUCAGUGGCAGAUGGGUGCGUAACACGUGAGGAACUUGUCCGACGGCGGGGGAUAGCCGGCCCAACGGCCGGGUAAUACCGCGCACGCUCAUUUGGGGACAUCCCCCGGGUGAGGAAAGCAGCCGCAAGGUUGCGCCGAUGGAGAGCCUCGCGGCGUAUCAGCAGUUGGCGGGUAACGGCCCACCAAGGCUACGACGCGUAGCUGAUCUGA